rnacentral:rRNA from 1 species
CACAGAGUUGGCCGAUGCUUAUUCCUCAGAUACCGUCAUUGUUUCUUCUCCGAGAAAAGAAGUUGACGACCCGUAGGCCUUCCACCUCCACGUGGCAUUGCUCCGUCAGGCUUUCGCCCAUUGCGGAAAAUUCCCCACUGCUGCCUCCCGUAGGAGUCUGGGCCGUGUCUCAGUCCCAGUGUGGCUGAUCAUCCUCUCGGACCAGCUACUGAUCAUCGCCUUGGUAAGCUUAUUGCCUCACCAACUAGCUAAUCAGACGCGAGCCCCUCCUUGGGCGGUAUUUCCUCCUUUUGCCUCCUCACGCCGUACGGGGUAUUACGCCUAACCGUUUCCAGUUUGUUCGUUCCCCUCCCGAAGGCUAGGUUCUUACGCGUUACCUCGUACCCGUUCGCCUACGUACGGAAACCACCUACC